rnacentral:lncRNA from 1 species
CCUCUAGCCACCCAGCCAACCCCACCCACACCCACACAGCACACUCAGUCCUCUGUGAUCUGGGCACUGACGACCUCGCCAACCUUCUCUCUCACGAUAUCUCCUCCAUAUCCGUGUGCCAGCCACCCCAAACUACACACACUUCUCCAAACGUAUCGAAUUCUCCCCACCUCUCUGUCUUUGCUAACAAGGCUCCCUCUGCCUGAAGCCCCCUUUCUCCUCUUUUCAAGCUGUUAAUUAUCUCUUUAGCUUUCAAGGUUCACACCAAGCAUCAUUUCCCUCUAAAGACUUUCCUAAAGCUUCCCCACCCAGAGUCAAUCAUUUCUAGGGUGCAAUUUCAAUUAGUGGAUCCUGAAAUUAACUUAGUGGGUGGGGCCAGCAUUUUUUUUUAAAGAUUGGCACCUGAGCUAACAACUGUUGCCAAUCUUUUUUGUUCAUGCUUUUUCUCCCCAAAUCCCACCAGCACACAGUUGCAUAUUUUAGUUGUGGGUCCUUCUAGUUGUGGCAUGUGGGACACCGCCUCAGGAUGGCCUAAUGAGCCGUGCCAUGUCCGUGGCCAGGAUCCGAACUGGCGAAAUCCUGGGCUGCCAAAGUGGAGCGCACGAACUUAACCACUCGGCCAUGGGGCCAGCCCUAGGAGCCAGCAUUUUUUUAAUGGAAUGUCAUGGAUUGGAGUGCAUCACAUAGCUUAGGGCUCUUGCUGCCA